rnacentral:rRNA from 1 species
GUGGACGCCAGUCUGCAUGGAGCCGACCUUGAAAUACCACCCUUUAAUGUUUGAUGUUCUAACGUGGACCCGUGAUCCGGGUUGCGGACAGUGUCUGGUGGGUAGUUUGACUGGGGCGGUCUCCUCCUAAAGAGUAACGGAGGAGCACGAAGGUUGGCUAAUCCUGGUCGGACAUCAGGAGGUUAGUGCAAUGGCAUAAGCCAGCUUGACUGCGAGCGUGACGGCGCGAGCAGGUGCGAAAGCAGGUCAUAGUGAUCCGGUGGUUCUGAAUGGAAGGGCCAUCGCUCAACGGAUAAAAGGUACUCCGGGGAUAACAGGCUGAUACCGCCCAAGAGUUCAUAUCGACGGCGGUGUUUGGCACCUCGAUGUCGGCUCAUCACAUCCUGGGGCUGAAGUAGGUCCCAAGGGUAUGGCUGUUCGCCAUUUAAAGUGGUACGCGAGCUGGGUUUAGAACGUCGUGAGACAGUUCGGUCCCUAUCUGCCGUGGGCGCUGGAGAACUGAGGGGGGCUGCUCCUAGUACGAGAGGACCGGAGUGGACGCAUCACUGGUGUUCGGGUUGUCAUGCCAAUGGCACUGCCCGGUAGCUAAAUGCGGAAGAGAUAAGUGCUGAAAGCAUCUAAGCACGAAACUUGCCCCGAGAUGAGUUCUCCCUGAGACUUAGAGUCUCCUGAAGGAACGUUGAAGACGACGACGUUGAUAGGCCGGGUGUGUAAGCGCAGCGAUGCGUUGAGCUAACCGGUACUAAUGAACCGUGAGGCUUAACCUU